AAGAACUGAGGACACAAGGGGAGGACUGAGGACAUGAGAGAAGGACUGAGGACAUGAGAGAAGGACUGAGGACAUAGAGAGAGGGACUGAGGACAGGAGGGAAGGAGUGAGGACACAGAGAGAAGGACUGAGGACACGAGGGAAGGACUGAGGACAGAACCGUCUGAAAGAAGAAUUAGAAAUCUGGCGGCUGCAGAUGUGCGGAUAAAGUGUUGUUGUGUCACAUGACCUUUAGCAGCGUAGAUUAAAAAAAUUGUGCUCAAAGUGGGUGGGGCAAAUUGAACUUACUGUUAUCAUCUGACCGCCAUCUCCACGCCACGGUUUUACGGUCUAACUGAACUGAAAGCAUGCUAACAUGCAGCCAAUCACAGCAGCUGCUGGUCCCUGAGCCCGCCCCCUCUCAGGUGCAGGGCGGGGCUCAGCUGAAGCAGGUAAACAAGCGUGUUUGUUUUUACCGAGUGAAACAUGAGGAGAGUUAGGCUCUGCAGUCUCCUGACGACCUUCAGGGGGCGC